rnacentral:rRNA from 1 species
UACGUAGGGGGCAAGCGUUGUCCGGAUUUAUUGGGCGUAAAGAGCGUGUAGGCGGCUAGGUAGGUCCGUUGUGAAAACUCGAGGCUCAACCUCGAGACGUCGAUGGAAACCAUCUAGCUAGAGUCCGGAAGAGGAGAGUGGAAUUCCUGGUGUAGCGGUGAAAUGCGCAGAUAUCGGGAGGAACACCUAUGGCGAAGGCAGCUCGCUGGGACGUUACUGACGCUGAGACGCGAAAGCGUGGGGAGCAAACAGG